GGUGACUUGGCGUAAUGGUCUAGCGCCUGGUCCGCUCUCGAGUUAGCUGCUUGUCUUAACUCGAGGGAGGGGGUUCGAAUACCUCAGUCACCA